rnacentral:rRNA from 1 species
GCUACACAUGCAGUCGAGCGGCAGCACAGAGGACUUGUUCCUUGGGUGGCGAGCGGCGGACGGGUGAGUAAUGCCUAGGAAAUUGCCCUGAUGUGGGGGAUAACCAUUGGAAACGAUGGCUAAUACCGCAUGAUGCCUACGGGCCAAAGAGGGGGACCUUCGGGCCUCUCGCGUCAGGAUAUGCCUAGGUGGGAUUAGCUAGUUGGUGAGGUAAUGGCUCACCAAGGCGACGAUCCCUAGCUGGUCUGAGAGGAUGAUCAGCCACACUGGAACUGAGACACGGUCCAGACUCCUACGGGAGGCAGCAGUGGGGAAUAUUGCACAAUGGGCGCAAGCCUGAUGCAGCCAUGCCGCGUGUAUGAAGAAGGCCUUCGGGUUGUAAAGUACUUUCAGUCGUGAGGAAGGUGGUGUUGUUAAUAGCAGCAUCAUUUGACNUUAGCGACAGAAGAAGCACCGGCUAACUCCGUGCCAGCAGCCGCGGUAAUACGGAGGGUGCNAGCGUUAAUCGGAAUUA